rnacentral:lncRNA from 1 species
AGAGAAGACACUGCCGGGGGAUCUGUUCUACUCAGCUUCAGACAGAGGGACACAGGUGAUUACCAGGUUUCAAUCAUUAAAUUCUAUACAACCCUUGACUUGAAAGGGUCUAUAAAUUAAGAGAGAGAUUGUCAGAGAUGCAGGUACGUCUCCUCACAGCACUGAUGUGUCUAACUGGAGGAUUCUGACUAGAGGUAACGCUGCCUAUGCCAUGACACAAACUGCUUUAGUUCCGUGAAGGAUUCCUGGGAUCGGCGAGCUCUUGAAGAAAACGUUCCAUUUGCUGGAUUCCUGGGAUUUUACUUACAGAUCUUCUCAGGU